rnacentral:pre_miRNA from 1 species
CGGCCGGCGGUGACAACGAGAGAGAGCACGCCGGUGCGGCGGUCACGGUGAGCCGCCCCGCGGCGGCGUACCUGCGUGCUUUCUCCCGUUGUCACUGCCAUACAUA